AGCUGUUCCUAUUCGGCCAUCUUGGCUCCUCCGACUCAACUCACUUUUCUAUAUGCUGAUUUCUAAUGGAUUCUUCAAACCACUUUUCCCAAAAACCCAUGCCAACAGACUUCCAGGGCUGCAAACUCCUCAGAAAACUUACAAUCAUGGCAGAGGGCACUUAUUCACAGAGUGUCAGAAGAGAGAAUGAGUGCCAGCAGGGGAAAUGCCAGACACUUAUAAAACCAUCAGAUCUCAUGAGACUCACUCACUAUCAUUACAACGCAUGGGGGAGCUCAGAGAGGGGUCAAGAUGGCUGGAUAGAAACAACUCCAGUCUGCAGCUCCCAGCGAGACCAACACAAAAGGUACCUCACUUUUGUCUGGAAUGGCAAUAUAUCCCUGCCUCAGAGACAACCAUGAUUAGUUGAAGCCAUUCAAAGUACUUCCAUAUCUUUUUGGCCAAAUUCUUACCUUCCCAGACUCUCUUGCAACUAGAAGUGUUCAUAUGAUAACAUUUUGUCCAAAGAAAUGUAAUGUGGAGUUUUUUGGAAGGCUUUUAUGGAAGAUAUUUUUAAGCUUUCUCCACCCUAAUGAGAAGAAAACCUUAUAUCUGCAGCCCUUUUUUGCAUAAGUAUGAGAAUGCCGUGCCGACAGCUGCUGCAAUUAUCUUGCAACAAUGAAGCAACAAGAAUGAAGACAAAAAGCCAUAUACUGAAAGGAUGGAGCAAAAGAAUAGAAAGUUAGGUCUUUCAUGACAUCAUUGAGCCAUUGAUGUAACCCUGGAACCACCACCUCCAGACUUCCUGAUAAGUAAACAAAAAUUGCAUUAUGGUUUGAGCCACUGUUAAUCAGGUUUUCUGCUACUUGCAGAUAAUAAAAUUUACAUGUAUUGGGCACCUAUUAUCUGCCAGGCAAAAAAUGGUGUUUAACAUAUUUUAUCUCAUUUAAUUGAAUCCAACAAAUCCAUGGGAUGGGUAUUACCAUCAGUCUUUUUCCAAUAAAGCUUAAAAAGGGUUCAGUGUGUUGUCCAAGGCCACAAAACUACUGAGUGAUAGAACCAAGAUUAAAACUUGUAUAUGUCCGUCUCCAAAACUCUUCCCACUAAAAAUAUAUUCAUAACUAUAAUACAUCAUAGAAAGCUGUGCACUGAGAAAUAGGUACAACUUAUCUAUUUAAAAGGGGGAAGAAGGCAGGAGAACAGUCUAAACCAGCAAUUACUACCUUUUGCUGUUGUUUUAAGCCACAAGCCUCAAACCCCUCAAAGUCAUUCAUGAGAGUUGGAAUCAACUUCCUCUAAACUUUAGUUAAUGUUGACAUUUUGACCUCCUCCCAUGAAUUACAAAUCUUCUUAAUGACAUCUAGAAUGGUGAAUCCUUUUCAGAAGGUUUUCAAUUGACUUUUUCUAGAUCCAUCAAAGGAAACACUAUCUAUUUCAGCUAUAACCUUAUGAAAAGUAUUUCUUAAAUAAUAAGACUUGAAAGUUGGAAUUACUUCUUGAUCCAUGGGUUCCAAAAUGGAUGUUGUGUUAGCAGGCAUGAAAACAUUAAUCUCCUCAUUCAUCUCCAUCAGAGAUCUUUGGUAAGCAGGUGUAUUAUCAACAAGCAGCACUAUUUUAAAAAGAAUCUUUUUUCUGUGCAGUAGGUCUUAACAAUGGGCUUAAAAUAUUCAUUAGAUCAUACAGUAAACAGAUAUGUUGUUAUCUAGGCUUUGUUGCUCCAUAUAUACAGCAAAGUCACAGUAGAUUUAGCAUAAUUAUGCAGGGCCAUAGGAGAUUCAGAAUAGUAAAUGAGUGUUGCCUUCAACCUAAAGUCACCAGCAGCAUUAGCCCCAGCAAGACAGUCAUUCUGUUCUUCAAAGUUUGGAAACCAGGCACUGAC
rnacentral:lncRNA from 10 species